GACGAGCUCCCCAAACGUUAUUCGGUAUCACUGGGCUUAAAGAGUUCGUAGGCGGUCUCGUAGGUGAGGUGUGAAAUCCCCCGGCUCAACCGGGGAACUGCGCUUCAAACCACUAGACUUGAGGGGAGACAGAGGGUGGGCGGAACAGAUGGUGGAGCGGUGAAAUGGCGUUUGAUAUCAUCUGGAACACCGGUGGCGAAGGCGGUUCUCUGGGCAUGAUCUGACGCUGAGGAGCGAAAGUGUGGGGAGCGAACAGG
rnacentral:rRNA from 1 species